GAAAUCGAACAAACCAGGAAGCAAUUAUUAGAAAAUUUAAUUUUAAUUAUGGUUAAUUUUAGGUGUAUAUACGGAAGUAAAAUAAGACGAAUCCCUAAUUCCGGAUUCACAAUUUGGCGUUUUACACAUUUUUCAUCACACGUUAAGUACCUAUACGCACCUAUGUAUACAUAUAUAUAUAUUAUAUUCCGCAGAGACGUACCC